rnacentral:lncRNA from 1 species
UUCUUGUGAGAAUGAUUGCCGGCGACCAGAGUCGUCAGAUUUUGUCAGGAAAAAAAUCUCCUAUUUUUCAUUAUUUUCGGAUCUCUGUCGAUCGAACCUCGUCACCGGCCAUCCUUGGCUCUACCGCCACCUUCACCUAUUAUCGAACCUUCGACCAUGCCAUCGCCCUUCAUCAGAGCCCGAGCCACCGAGCCUCUCCCCUCGAUUCCUCCUCCAUUCGGCUAG